rnacentral:rRNA from 1 species
UAGUCUCAGUUCGGAUUGUAGGCUGAAACUCGCCUACAUGAAGUUGGAAUCGCUAGUAAUCGCGGAUCAGCAUGCCGCGGUGAAUACGUUCCCGGGCCUUGUACACACCGCCCGUCACACCAUGAGAGUCGGGAACACCCGAAGUCCGUAGCCUAACAGCAAUGGGGCGCGGCCGAAGGUGGGUUCGAUAAUUGGGGUGAAGUCGUAACAAGGUACC